GACAGAGGGUGCAAACGUUGUUCGGAAUUACUGGGCGUAAAGCGUGUGUAGGCGGCUACAUAAGUCGGAUGUGAAAUCCCACGGCUCAACCGUGGAAGUGCAUCCGAAACGGCAUCGCUUGAGUCUCGGAGAGGAAGGUGGAAUGCUUGGUGUAGAGGUGAAAUUCGUAGAUAUCAAGCAGAACACCUGCGGCGAAGGCGGCCUUCUGGACGAUGACUGACGCUGAGACACGAAAGCGUGGGGAGCAAACAGG
rnacentral:rRNA from 1 species